rnacentral:misc_RNA from 1 species
GAAGAAUCAAAAACUCCAUUGAAAAAUUACACCAUGUCUCCUUCUCGAAUGGUAUCAAAAUUGAAUAACUUCACAUUGUCUCUUGCAUCCAUUAGAAUAUCUAGACAAACAAAAUCAACAAAAGCAAUAAAAUUUAAAGGGUUAGAAAGAUCUUCAAUUUCUAUAAACCCCAUGAAUUGAGUUUUUUCAAUUUCCACUAUGGUCUCCAUGUAUUGUUCCUCUUUAAUUUCCAUUGAAAUCUCCAACUCUCCUUACUCUUCCUUAUGAGUUUCAACUUCAUCUUCU